rnacentral:misc_RNA from 1 species
AGCCAAAGCUAAUGGGUUCCUCCGCUCUAUGACCUCACUAGUACAACCAACUCGUAUCCCUUCUAAAGGCUUAUUAAGCAUUUUCCAGAACCGAUCCGAACCUUUCUCUCGACUUUGCACAUUAGGCCUGAUUUCUGGUACAAGUAAUCCAUUCCACACUUCACGGGCUUCACCUCCAGAACCCCAGGGCUGGGCAUUGAUUACAGUACCA